UAGAGUUUGAUCCUGGCUCAUAGAGUACGAUCCGGCAUGCGAUACACAUGCAAGUCGUGCGGAACACAUGCAACUAUCCUGGCGGUCAGAGGCGAACGGGUGAGUAAUGCCUAGGAAUUUGCUCACUCGUGAGUGACAAGGCAUUGAAAGUGGUGUUAAUACCGCAUACGAUGUAUGGAAGAAAGCAGGGGCAUCGCAAGGCCUUGCAUGAUUGGGAAAGCUUAUGUGGGAUUAGAUAGUUGGUGAGGUAAUCGCUCACCAAGCGGGGGAUUUGCAUAUCAUGGGGGAGGCGGGUCACCCGCACUAGAAGUUGGCCGCCCACCAGAGUCCUACGGCAGGCACCAGUGUGGAAUUUGAGGCAGCAGGGGGAGCAUUGCCCAAUCAGGGCGAGCGCGAGACAAAGGCGUUGGGUGAGUAAAGUGGGCUUGUACGGAAUAAACCUCCUUCAGUUAAUAAGAAGGGAAAAUGACGGUACCGUCAGAAUAAGCACCGGCUAACUACGUGCCAGCAGCCGCGGUAAUACGUAGGGUGCAAGCGUUAUUCGGAAUUAUUGGGCGUAAAGCGCUCGUAGGCGGUUUGUUAAGUCAGCUGUGAAAUCCCCGGGCUCAACCUCGGAUCUGCAUUUGGUACUGGCAAGCUAGAGUACGGUAGAGGAGGAUGGAAUUCCGGGUGUAGCGGUGAAAUGCGCAGAUAUCGGAGGAACACCGAGGCGAAGGCAUGCCCCUGGCUGAACGACGCGCAGAGCGAAAGCUGAGGACU
rnacentral:rRNA from 1 species